UACGUAGGGGGCUAGCGUUGUCCGGAAUCAUUGGGCGUAAAGAGCGCGUAGGCGGCCCGGUAAGUCCGCUGUGAAAGUCCAGGGCUCAACCCUGGAAUGCCAGUGGAAACUGUCGGGCUAGAGUACGGAAGAGGCGAGUGGAAUUCCUGGUGUAGCGGUGGAAUGCGCAGAUAUCAGGAGGAACACCAAUAGCGAAGGCAGCUCGCUGGGACGUUACUGACGCUGAGGCGCGAAAGCGUGGGGAGCAAACAGG
rnacentral:rRNA from 1 species